rnacentral:rRNA from 1 species
UACGGAGGGUGCAAGCGUUAUCCGGAUUCACUGGGUUUAAAGGGCGCGUAGGCGGGCUGUCAAGUCGGUGGUGAAAUCUUUCGGCUCAACCGGAAAAUCGCCUUCGAUACUGGCGGCCUUGAGGGAGGUAGGGGCAUGCGGAACUUCCGGUGGAGCGGUGAAAUGCGUAGAUAUCGGAAGGAACACCGAUGGCGAAAGCAGCGUGCUGGACCUUUUCUGACGCUGAGGCGCGAAAGCCAGGGGAGCAAACGGG